GAUGAACGCUGGCGGCGUGCCUAAUACAUGCAAGUCGAGCGAACGGACGAGAAGCUUGCUUCUCUGAUGUUAGCGGCGGACGGGUGAGUAACACGUGGAUAACCUACCUAUAAGACUGGGAUAACUUCGGGAAGCCGUAGCUAAUACCGGAUAAUAUUUUGAACCGCAUGGUUCAAAAGUGAAAGACGGUCUUGCUGUCACUUAUAGAUGGAUCCGCGCUGCAUUAGCUAGUUGGUAAGGUAACGGCUUACCAAGGCAACGAUGCAUAGCCGACCUGGGAGGGUGAUCGGCCACACUGGAACUGAGACACGGUCCAGACUCCUACGGGAGGCAGCAGUAGGGAAUCUUCCGCAAUGGGCGAAAGCCUGACGGAGCAACGCCGCGUGAGUGAUGAAGGUCUUCGGAUCGUAAAACUCUGUUAUUAGGGAAGAACAUAUGUGUAAGUAACUGUGCACAUCUUGACGGUACCUAAUCAGAAAGCCACGGCUAACUACGUG
rnacentral:rRNA from 1 species